UUAUGAAAUGUUUUUUAUUAAAAUAGAAUUUCAGUAAUGUAAUAAAAUAUACUUAAGGAAUAUUGUUUUAAUUUGACCACCACUGUGUGUUAAAUUACUACUUCAAUCUUACUUGGACUGUCAUUGCGGUAAUUAGUCUGUAGUGAAUUCCAAUUAAAGCCCAGCUUCAUAAUUUAGCACAUGAUCUUACCCCGGAACAAUUUACAGGCCAUGUGUUCCCCAGGUAAGCGGCUGCCCGAGAAAGACCCCGUCGUACAGAUGCCAGUGAACCUGUACCCCCAGCCCUGGGAAGCUACAGAGCUUGGGGGAGCAGCUGCACGUGCUCAGUUCUGCUCUAGAAGGCAUGACACCUGGCAGCUGACCCUGCCCGUUACUGCCAGGGCCCGGACAAGAAAGGAAGAGGGAACAAACUGGCCUCCAGGUACACAAAGUUCGACACAGACAAAGUCAGUGUUUUCAGUGGUAUAUUUGUUGUUGGUUGUCCCACACUCUUUUAGACAGCAAGCAUUCCACAAUCGGAAACACAGUCCGUGUUGUGUGUGUGUGUGUAUGUAUGUGUGUGUGUGUGUGUGUGUGUAGUGUAGCAUAUGUCUUAGCCUACCGUAUGUUGGUCCACCCCACUAUUCCCACAGAGCAUGUCGGCUGAAAAAGAAAGCUCAGCACGAGGCCAACAAAAUCAGACUAUGGGGCCUGAACCAGGAGUAUGAUGGCCUGUUGGGGGCGGUGCUGCAGAUAAAGGAGCUGAUCCGCCGAGAGUGGAGGCCAGAGAGGAAGACAGAGAGACAAGUGCCCUGAGAGAGAGACUGGAGGACAUUCUGAAGGAGUCUCCUGGGCCGCGUGUAGCCGGACGAGGCAAAGCGUUUGUGGAGAGGAUGCUGAAGAACCUGCGGGGAAGGAGCACCAGAGAGACUCCAAGAGGAGGAGGGCCAACCGACCCUAGCCGCUAACCUCUUCUCAGAGUCAUCGUCCCGCCCCAUUUAUGCUUCACUUUGCACUUUCUGACUUGGAACAGGUUUUUUAGACAGAACGUACAGACACACACACGUAGGAAGAAAGGAUGUGGAGCGAACAGUCCUUGUCAGGCUAAACACUUGAUUUCCAGCUGCUAGGGUAUAUUGAUGAGUGCCUCUGAACGUUCAACAUAUUGGUAUGUUUGUUUUGUGUGUGUGUGUGUGUGUGUGUGUGUGUGUGUAAGGGACUAUUCAUGAUUCCAGUGUAUCUAUUGCGUUAUGUACUGUACUAAACCCCAUUGUGCCUAAAGGAGGACACUGUGCUGACUAGCUAGCCUGUGCUAUACACUAUGUCUUGUUGGAGAACAGUUAGAAGAGUGACUGUAGAUAUGGUGCUUCUUACAGUGGAACAUGAUGGUUAAGCCAGUUUAGCUUGGCGUCUGAUUUGAAUUGUUCUGUAAACCAAAGGUGCCGGUGGGGGGCUUUGGGGUCGCGUGGCUGUUGCUCAAUGGUUCUCGAAUGUACUGAAAGCCUAGCUUGCAUGGUCAUUUUAUAUGAUGUAGUGUACAAGCCUGAAGAAGGUAAAAUGCUGUUAUGUCCAAUACUACAAAUCCUAUUUCUAAUUGUUAUCAUUACGUACUGUACUGCUCUACCAAUAAACCUAUUAUGAGAGGAUACAUAUAAACCUUAAGCCAGGAUGGAAAUACAUUUAAUUGUUUCAACUUUUUCCCACGUACUACGAAAUUUGGUCAACCGUAGUUCAUAAAAGUGGUGAUAUGCUUUUCCCAUUUGGAUCUAAAUUAAUAGGAUUAAAUGAAUGGGGGGAACUGAUCCCAAAUCAGCACUUCUACUCUGAGGCUCUUUUUGAAAAAGGGAACAGACUCUCUCUAAUGGUGUGCUAUUAUUGAUUGCACAAGUUCCACUCAGAGAAGAGACACCUGUGGACGCUGCUGUACCGUGAAUUCCAGAGUUGUCCCAUCUCCUUCCUAAAUCCAUGUUUAUCCCUGAGUUCCAGAGUUGUGCAUCUUGUCCUAAAUCCAUAUUGACCCCUGAGUUCCAGAGUUGUCCGUCUCCUUCCUAAAUCCAUGUUUAUAUAACAUCUGUUGAUUGGAUCUCUCUCUGUAUCUUUGGUGCUUUGUAUAGCCUGUGCCUUUGAAAGUUCGUGGAGAGCAAAUAGUAACAUGAACACCACCACAUGUCUGUCUCUCCAUGUCCUAUUGAGAAUAUAUAAAACACCACCAUGUUAAUGGUAACAAAAAAAAAGGAAAGUAAGGAGAAGUGUAGCCGUUUGAUGGUAGUCCCCAUUACUCCAGAGCCUUUAAUCAUAAAGCUGAUCUUGGUGAAAAAAGGUCAGAAAGGUUUAUGGAUAUGGACAUAAAGCAUUCCUGCACUUGUAUUGCUUUCAUGAAGCCCAGCAAGAAAUACAAUGUCUCGCUGUAGCUUUACUCUUUACCCUAGUGGUCAGGAACAGCCCUGCCACAGAUCUUGCAUUAUCCUGAAUGAACUUGUUCAUAUCCUCAAUUAAUAGUAAACAAUUAUUAUGAAAUUACUGUCUUAACAUGCAUGCAAAAAUACAUGAAAAUAGGUUCUUAAAAACAUCACCAUACAGGAAGCAUAGAGGAUAAAUUGUGAAUGUUACACACUAAACAGUGUACUGUAAAAUGUGAUCAGUGAACAUGUUGAAAGUUGUUUCAGAAAGUUGUGCGUUGUCCAUUUAUCUACUGGGAGAGUUUUUUGCCACGUCUUAAUAAAGCCUUAAGCCUAUUCCCUUGCAGUAGUUAUUAUUUAUAAGACAAGGAUAACGUGUUAUAAAAACCUUUAGGAACAUGUAUGAAUCAUUAAUUUACUUAGUGAAUGUGCAUGAAAAAGAUGAACACAUUUUGGUGUCAUAGAAAUAGAAAAUGUUUUGUUUUGUUCGAUCUGUGUAAAUGUGUUUUCACUAUCUUGAAGCU